rnacentral:rRNA from 1 species
GAUGAAUGCUGGCGGCGUGCCUAACACAUGCAAGUCGAACGGCAGCACGGGAGCAAUCCUGGUGGCGAGUGGCGAACGGGUGAGUAAUAUAUCGGAACGUGCCCAGUCGUGGGGGAUAACGUAGCGAAAGCUACGCUAAUACCGCAUACGAUCUAUGGAUGAAAGCGGGGGAUCGCAAGACCUCGCGCGAUUGGAGCGGCCGAUAUCAGAUUAGGUAGUUGGUGAGGUAAAGGCUCACCAAGCCGACGAUCUGUAGCUGGUCUGAGAGGACGACCAGCCACACUGAGACUGAGACACGGCCCAGACUCCUACGGGAGGCAGCAGUGGGGAAUUUUGGACAAUGGGCGCAAGCCUGAUCCAGCAAUGCCGCGUGCAGGAUGAAGGCCUUCGGGUUGUAAACUGCUUUUGUACGGAACGAAACGGCGAGCUCUAAUACAGUUUGCUAAUGACGGUACCGUAAGAAUAAGCACCGGCUAACUACGUGCCAGCCGCCGCCGUAA